UGGAGCCGAUUUUAUCUAUAGUUUGGCUGCUUGCCAAGAAAAUCUGAAGACACAAACAGGAAGUAGGGACAAGGUACUAUAGGAUCUGAAACAUUUUUGUACCUUCUUCGGUUGCCCACAUCCAUCAAACGAUUAAUUUUGCGUGGCUGACAGUUAAGGUGUAGGCGAUCAAUUAUUCAGGAUGGCAGAUGCAAGUGCAUCCAAGAAACAAGGGAGACGCCCUGUAAGAGGAGCCUCCCAGGAGAGACUAAAAAGUCGCAGAAAAAUGCCAAGACAAGAUCAAGCCCCUUCUGAAGAGGCAGAUUUUAUCUCCUCAGAUACACCAUCUGG